UACCAGCACCCCGAGUGGUCGGGACGUUUAUUGGGCCUAAAGCAUCCGUAGCCGGUUCUACAAGUCUUCCGUUAAAUCCACCUGCUUAACAGAUGGGCUGCGGAAGAUACUAUAGAGCUAGGAGGCGGGAGAGGCAAGCGGUACUCGAUGGGUAGGGUAAAAUCCGUUGAUCCAUUGAAGACCACCAGUGGCGAAGGCGGCUUGCCAGAACGCGCUCGACGGUGAGGGAUGAAAGCUGGG
rnacentral:rRNA from 1 species